rnacentral:lncRNA from 1 species
ACCUUGCUGCUGUCGGACUUGUUUACCAUAGUGGUGAACCUGAGCUGCGUGCUUGCUGUUGGAGAUUACAAGCCUGGAUGAAGGGCUACUUAUAUGCUUCAGUGCUAGCUCGUCCAUUAAACUGACACUCCGACGUUUCAGGAUGAAAUAUGGGCCAGUUUUGGAGGAAAAGUGGCUUCAGCCUUUAAGAUGCCCUUUGGCUUUGUCUGAAUCGGCGAGUACUGGUGCUCUGGGAGCCUCACAGCCUGACCGGAUGGCUAAUUACUGGCAACCCUCUGGCUUCACUUCACCCCAACCCCCUUGCUGUAUUUCUAUCCUGCUUUUUUCCAUUCCUAUUCCUUUCUGUCCGGCACACCGUUCCUCCAGAGAUCGUGCUAAGAAGAGUCCAGGAAAUGGCAGGGUAGAGUUUUCCGUGACUCCUACAUUUUGCUCUGUAUAAUUUUUCAAUUUCUAAUGUUUAUAGCCUAUUCACAGCAUUAUGAAGUACCUGCCAUAGAACAUGUUUUAUUGAUAACAUAAAAAUGCCUGCAGUUCUACUCUCUUAUUUAUCUUUUUCCAAACAAUACCCUUGUAAGUUCCUUGGACUAACUCCACCUCCAGCAGCCUGCUUUUAUUCCGAAUAUGGACCCUGCCUCCUCGGUGUUGAUGACAUAUGGUCCAGAUGUCAGCACAGAUGAUGAGGCCACAUAGACCUCACUGCAUCAUCUGCCAGCUGCCCUCACAUCUGCAUCCAUGCUACCUCUGUGGUCAAUAGUAAAUGGCCUCUUUAAGCUAAUUUAGUACCAAAGUGCCAUAGAGACUAAACACUGGAAAAAAGCUGGUACUCAUCAACUGACUCUGUCUCAAAAAUGCUGCAUAAAUGCUGAGAAACCUUCCAGCCUGAAUGCCUUAGAUUUGUUUUGGUUGUAAAAUAGUCAUUCACGGGGC